UACCCGCUGAACUUAAGCAUAUCAAUAAGCGGAGGAAAAGAAACCAACCGGGAUUACCUUAGUAACGGCGAGUGAAGCGGUAAAAGCUCAAAUUUGAAAUCUUUGGAAUUGUAAUUUGUUGGUCAAUAUAAGUGAGAAGGCAUUAAGUUUACUGGAAAGUAACGCCAUUGAGGGUGAUAGCCCCGUUGCUUCUAACACAAAUAAUAUAUUGAACCAAAGAGUCCAGUUGUUUGGGAAUGCAGCUUAAAGUUGGUGGUAAAUUCCAUCUAAGGCUAAAUAUUGACGAGAGACCGAUAGCGAACAAGUACAGUGAUGGAAAGAUGAAAAGCACUUUGAAAAGAGAGUGAAAUAGUACGUGAAAUUGUUAAAAGGGAAAGGUGCAGCAACCAAAACUAACACCAAAAUUGUUGGUGGUUGCUUCACCACCCGUC
rnacentral:rRNA from 1 species